rnacentral:rRNA from 1 species
UUAAGUCAGGCAACAAGCGAGACCCACGCCCACAGUUGCCAGCGUACUCUCUGGAGUGACGGGUACACUGUGGGGACCGCCGCUGCUAAAGCGGAGGAAGGUGCGGGCUACGGUAGGUCAGUAUGCCCCGAAUCAUCCGGGCUACACGCGGGCUACAAUGGUUGGGACAAUGGGCACCUACACCGAGAGGUGAUGGUAAUCUCCUAAACCCAGCCUUAGUUCGGAUUGAGGGCUGCAACUCGCCCUCAUGAAGCCGGAAUCCGUAGUAAUCGCGUAUCAAUAUCACGCGGUGAAUACGUCCCUGCUCCUUGCACA